rnacentral:rRNA from 1 species
CGGGUUGUAAAGUACUUUCAGCUAGUGAGGAAGGUGGGUAUGUUAAUAGCAUAUUCAUUUGACGUUAGCUGCAGAAGAAGCACCGGCUAACUCCGUGCCAGCAGCCGCGGUAAUACGGAGGGUGCGAGCGUUAAAUCGGAAUUACUGGGCGUAAAGCGCAUGCAGGUGGUUUGUUAAGUCAGAUGUGAAAAGCCCGGGGCUCAACCUCGGAAUUGCAUUUGAAAACUGGCAAACUAGAGUACUGUAGAGGGGGUAGAAUUUCAGGUGUAGCGGUGAAAAUGCGUAGAGAUCUGAAGGAAUACCGGUGGCGAAGGCGGCCCCCCUGGACAGAUACUGACACUCAGAUGCGAAAGCGUGGGGAGCAAACAGGAUUAGAUACCCUGGGAG